CUUUGAUACCAUGUUAAGUUUUUAAAAAGAAAGAGAAUAAUAAGAAGAAAAAUGGCUUGGCACUAAAACCCCACAGCUGUAGGACUCAAACCCUGAAGAAGGGAAAUAGCUUGUGAGACUCAAACCCAUAGCUUUGUGAAGGAGGACAAUAAGAAAGAAGAAACCCCAUAAUUUUAUGCAGGCUCUGAUACCAUGUUAAGUUUUGGAAAGAGACAACAAGAAGAAAAGACAAAUAAAGGAAGAAAAAAACACAAAGGCUAUAAAGACUACAUUUUUCAUUUCACUUCACACACUUUACAUAAAAACUUUUAAAACGGAAGAUAGAAGAUAUAAAUCCAUAUAUUACUCCUAAAAUCCCUUGAAUUAUGGAGAUAAAUCAUUUUGUAAAUUAUCCUAAAAUCG
rnacentral:misc_RNA from 1 species